rnacentral:misc_RNA from 1 species
UCUCCGUUGGUGAACCAGCGGAGGGAUCAUUAUUGAGUUACUGAACUCCCAAACCCGUGUGAACUUACCACUGUUGCUUCGGCGGUCACGCCCCGGGAGCCCUGCGCGGCCCGGAGUCAGGCGUCCGCCGGAGGUCUUAAACCCUGAAUUCUAGUGUAUCUCUGAGGAUGAAAAAAAACCAAUUAAAACUUUCAACAACGGAUCUCUUGGCUCUG